AACGAACGCUGGCAGCGUGGAUUAGGCAUGCAAGUCGAACGGGAUCCGGAAGGUAGCAAUACCGGCCGGUGAGAGUGGCGGAAGGGCGAGGAGCACGUGGACAACCUGUCCCGUGGGUGGGGAUACCGUCCCGAAAGGGGCGUUAAUACCGAAUGGGCCCCGGACCGCAUGGUCCGGCGGCCAAAGGCGGGGACCGCAAGGCCCGCCCCCCCGGGAGGGGUCCGCGCACCAUCAGCUAGACGGCGGGGUAACGGCCCACCGUGGCUUACGGUUAGCUGGUCUGAGAGGACGACCAGCCGCACUGGGACUGAGACACUGCCCAGACUCCUACGGGAGGCUGCAGUCGAGGAUCAUUCGCAAUGGGCGAAAGCCUGACGAUGCGACGCUGCGUGGAGGAUGAAGGCCCUCGGGUCGUAAACUCCUGUCAUGGGGGGCGAGGCGGAGGCGGUUAACGGCCGCCCGAGUUGACGGUACCCCAAGAGGAAGCCACGGCUAACUCUGUG
rnacentral:rRNA from 1 species